UACGAAGGGGGCUAGCGUUGCUCGGAAUCACUGGGCGUAAAGGGUGCGUAGGCGGGUUUUUAAGUCAGAGGUGAAAUCCUGGAGCUCAACUCCAGAACUGCCUUUGAUACUGGAAAUCUUGAGUAUGGGAGAGGUGAGUGGAACUGCGAGUGUAGAGGUGAAAAUUCGUAGAUAUUCGCAAGAACACCAGUGGCGAAAGGCGGCUCACUGGCCCAUAACUGACGCUGAGGCACGAAAGCGUGGGGAGCAAACAGG
rnacentral:rRNA from 1 species